GAUGUGAUUUUCAUUGUUAUAUGUGUUUAUUAUAAUAUUAUAUGCAAUGUUUGCAUUAUGAUAUUGGUGUCUUAGUUUUAGUUGUCUGAUGUUUUACUGGAAUCCAACCUUUUCUAUCAGGAUAACCAUUUAAAAAUGUUGGGAGGAUAUCUUGAGUUUUUUAUGGAUCCGAGUGUUGUUGAAAUGUCCAGAGUAUAAGGAGAGAACUUGAUGCCUUCAUUCAGAGCAAACUACUUUUUCCAAGAAUGGGCAUACAGUGGUAUCAUGAUCUCCUAUCUACAGUACGGCUGCUGAUUUCCAAUGACCAAUGUGAAGGUAGAUUUGUAUUUGGUCGCCAGGUCCAUAAACCAUCUAAAAAAUCUAUUAUGUUGGCCUCACACCCAACCUUGGUUUCAAGGACUGAGAGUGGACCUGGGGGAGAUAAUUCUAAAAGUCAGCUCCAAACAUUGCUUACGAGAGCAGGAUGUGCAGCGCCCGUCUACAAGACUAAACAAUUGAAGAACAAUCAGUUUCAGGCUGCAGUUGAAUUCAAUGGAAUGCAGAUAAUGGGUCAACCUUGUAACAAUAAAAAGAGUGCAGAAAAAGAUGCUGCAGCUGAGGCAUUGCAGUGGCUGAUGGGUGGAAAGCAAGCAGGCAGGGAGUAUAUCAAUCACUUGUCAAUGUUGCUUAAGAAAAGUAAGAAGGAUCACAAUUAAGCGGUCAAAGUAAUAUGUUCAAUGCAAAGGUAAAAUGGAGCUGGAGGCAAAGGAUGUAUGCGGUUUCAUGGGGCAUUGUUACUAUAAAGUCCUGGAUCAUUGGGUCAACCUGUUCAUGAAAGCAGCCAACCCCAUAUCACCAUCAACCAGAUUGAAUUUGAAGUUGAAAGAUACUCAUUCUUUGAUCGAAGCAAGAUAAAAGAUCAUCCGCGAGCAUGAAGCAAAUAACUGUCACUUUUCCAGUUUUGUGCUUUUACAUCAGUGAGAAAAUUGACGGUUAGUGGCAGGGUCAUACGCGACAGGAGGGAUUAGUACAUAGCAUUCAUUAAAUGGGUUGGGUUGGCGGUGCGGGCGGUUGUGCACAUAUUCAGCAGGAAAUGAUGCCACACUCGAAUCCCAGUUAUUCACCCAUUGAUUUUGUACAGUGAUUAUCAUUUUUGACGGUAUUGAAAUCUUGAAUAUAUGUCGAACCACAUUCCAUCCCAAUAUAAUUCUAUUCCAAUGGUGAGACCAAAUAAACCUUUUUCUGGCCU